GCCCUUCGCUUACACCGAAAAAACGUUUGUGUAACCCAAACCAUUUUGA
rnacentral:tRNA from 1 species